AACUUCUAGUGGUGGAUCGCUCGGCUCGUGGGUCGAUGAAGACCGCAGCAAAAUGCGUGUCGGCAUGUGAAUCGCAAGAUUACCAGAUGCAUCGACCAGUUGAACGCACAUUGCGGCGACUUCACUACCCAGUGUUGUCGCCACUCCCAGACGAGUGUCU
rnacentral:rRNA from 1 species